AUUGAACGCUGGCGGCAUGCCUUACACAUGCAAGUCGAACGGUAACAGGUCUUCGGAUGCUGACGAGUGGCGAACGGGUGAGUAAUAUAUCGGAACGUGCCCAGUAGUGGGGGAUAGCCCGGCGAAAGCCGGAUUAAUACCGCAUACGACCUGAGGGUGAAAGGGGGGGAUUCGCAAGAACCUCUCGCUAUUGGAGCGGCCGAUAUCAGCUUAGGUAGUUGGCGGGGUAAAGGCCUACCAAGCCUGCGAUGUGGAGUUGGUCUGAGAGGACGACCAGCCACACUGGGACUGAGACACGGCCCAGACUCCUACGGGAGGCAGCAGUGGGGAAUUUUGGACAAUGGGCGCAAGCCUGAUCCAGCAAUGCCGCGUGCAGGAAGAAGGCCUUCGGGUUGUAAACUGCUUUUGUCAGGGAAGAAAUCCUCUGGGUUAAUACCUCGGGGGGAUGACGGUACCUGAAGAAUAAGCACCGGCUAACUACGUGCCAGCAGCCGCCGUAAAAC
rnacentral:rRNA from 1 species